GGAUAGCAUCAAUCUGAGUAAGCUGUUUCAGAAGGAUAAAACAUCACUUUCAGAGGAAAAAUGUAGUCAGGAUGGACAUGGAUCUCAACUCAAGAAGACGUCCGAAGUAAAUUCUCCGAUUAAAAAUGAAGAAGUAGAUCGCACACCUACUAGGAAGAGAAAGAAUGAAAACCAGAGUGAAAAAAAAGGAAAAGGCACUGACAAGGCUUUAACGAAGAGAAGAGCAUUGGAGAAGCCUUUUACAGAUAAAGAACCCAGUCAUUCAGUCUGUA
rnacentral:misc_RNA from 1 species